rnacentral:rRNA from 1 species
AUUGACCGCUGGCGGCAGGCCUAACACAUGCAAGUCGAACGAGUGGCGGACGGGUGAGUAAUGUCUGGGAAACUGCCUAAUGGAGGGGGAUAACUACUGGAAACGGUAGCUCAUACCGCAUACCAUCAGAUGUGCCCAGAUGGGAUUAGCUAGUAGGUGGGGUAACGGCUCACCUAGGCGACGAUCCCUAGCUGGUCUGAGAGGAUGACCAGCAACACUGGAACUGAGACAAGGUCCAGACUCCUACGGGAGGCAGCAGUGGGGAAUAUUGCACAAUGGGCGCAAGCCGGAUGCAGCCAUGCCGCGUGUAUGAAGAAGGCCUUCGGGUUGUAAAGUACUUUCAGCGGGGAGGCGUUACCCGCAGAAGAAGCACCGGCUAACUCCGGGCCAGCAGCCGCGGUAAUAC